rnacentral:rRNA from 1 species
CACGUAGGGCGCGAGUGUUGUCCGGAAUUAUUGGGCGUAAAGAGCUCGUAGGCGGCCUGUUGCGUCCGCUGUGAAAGCCCGGGGCUUAACCCCGGGUCGGCAGUGGAUACGGGCAGGCUAGAGGUAGGUAGGGGAGAAUGGAAUUCCCGGUGUAGCGGUGAAAUGCGCAGAUAUCGGGAGGAACACCGGUGGCGAAGGCGGUUCUCUGGGCCUUACCUGACGCUGAGGAGCGAAAGCGUGGGGAGCGAACAGG